CAGUGCAUCUGUAGGAACUGAUGCUGCAGCUUGUUGUUGCUGUCAGGUCAGUAUUUAAGGUGCACGCGCAGCUUUAGCUUCAUACUAACAACUCUGCUGCAGUGAGAUAAGUGUGAUAAAUGUCCAACAAACUGCCCAAAAAACAUCAGAACAACCCUCAAAUGUUCACUGACAGCCACACAUCAGAUCAGAAACAGACCCGACAAAGUGCUGCUGGUGACAGUGUUAUUGGACUGCGUUGCCAUGGAAACAGCUUGGGUCCAAGUUCACUCGCUGCUGACAGCAAACAUCCAUAAACAACGUUUAGAGCGUUCAUGAGACCAGCGUUUCCGUUGGAGACGGACCAGAGAGGACGACGAGAAGAACUCUGCAACAAACACCGAAUCAGAUGAGAAAGUUAAUAUCAAAGCUGGUGUUUGUUUCUGAUCCUCUUUGUGAUGUUCAGUGCAGCUACAGCCAGCUGAGGAGGACGUCCGACUUUUGCAGAUGAUGUUGUUCUGUUAGCUUCAGAUCUUUGUUGGAGUAGAUUCUUCUCCUGAAUGUUCUGGUUCUGGUUCUGUCUCCAACCCGUCAACCUCGUUUCUAACAACAUAACGAUGCUGACAUUUAAACGUCUUAAGCAUUUAUCCUGUGAUCAAUUCAGACGACGAGACUCAACAUGAAGCUCGGACCCCCAGAGGAAGAAACCCUGCAGAAGAUUAUUCACUUUUCCACUACAAACUGAGAGAUUCCAAAGGUUUCCAGGAGAAUAAUUUGCACAUUUCGGUACAAUUUGUGCAGCUGUCAUGAUAAUAAAUGUUGUUAAGUUCA